UGCACUCAAAGUUCAAAUUAUUUCAGCUUUGACCUCGGUUGCUGCUGACCUGUCAGAGCGCAACCAAUGAGAUAACAGCUGCAACUGUUGUUGCCUAGAAACAGUAAAUCACUUUCCUUGCUCACUUUCUGAUGACAUAUCAUACCUGCACUGUGCACCUUGUGAUGAGUGAAGAGCACAUUUCUUAUCAUGUGAAGGCAGCUUAACAUUAAUGUAUUAGUCUCUUUUAGUCUCAUCCUCCCUCUGGUGCCUAAUUUCCCUCCUUCAGGACCAACCACUGGGAGACUGGAGGUUAGAAACGCGGGUCAAUGAAAAAAUCAUCUCAUACACAUUUGAGAAAUCAUUUGAACUCACGUCUGGAAGCAACGUCACUAUGUCUGGCCAUGGUGGUGGCCGAUUUCAGCCCACUGAGCUGUGUUGGAAGGACUUGACAUCCUGGAGCUAUGCAGACAAUCUGAAGUUCUUCCUCAUCAGUACCACUGAUGUCCGAUAUCAACUCAGUUCAUACUUAAUGAGCAGUUAUUAAUUAUCCAGCUGUCAUACUUGCUUUCAUUCUUAUCUUAUCUUAUCUAUUUGCUCCUUGGUAAAGGGUAGUUACCAUCAGUAACACCAGAAUGCAUUCUGAAUGGUAAAUAGUGAUGUAAACAUUAAACAUCAGGAACAGCAGGACUCAGCUCUUCCUGUAAAAACACAUGUUGUAAUGAUCAGUAAACACUGGAGAACAUCUCUGUUUGAUCUGAUCAAUCAAACUUUAUUACGUUUCUUCUUCUUCUUGUAAAUUCAACAACUCAAAAUAUGUUUAGUUUGAAAUGUGGUGAAAUAUCUGCAUUUGUUUUAUGUUUAUUGUUCAUUGCUCUUCAUUGUUAAGGUAAAAUAUCAUUCUGAAAUCUCCAAUAUUGAACUAACUCAGGGACUUUUAUUUUCUAUGUUUACUGGAUUGAAUGUUUAUUGGUGUUAAUCUAUGUUCUGUAUUGUUUGUAAUUCAAUCUUGUCUAUAUAUAAUCCCAUACUGUAAUGAACAGAUACAAAGAUAAAUACAUGUUUGACAUUUUAUUAUCAAGCCCAGAUGCUGUACAGUUAUAUCAGUAUAUCAACUUCCAAGUAUGUAUUUUUUUUAUAUUUGUCUCAACUUACACUAUAUAAAGAAAAAUAUCAUUUUA